rnacentral:rRNA from 2 species
UGUACACACCGCCCGUCACACCAUGGAAGCUGGUCACGCCCGAAGUCAUUACCUCAACCGCAAGGAGGGGGAUGCCUAAGGCAGGGCUAGUGACUGGGGUGAAGUCGUAACAAGGUAGCCGUACCGGAAGGUGUGGCUGGAUCACCUCCUUA